GUGACGAGUGGCGGACGGGUGAGGAAUACAUCCCGAAUCUACUUUUUCGUGGGGGAUAACGUACGGAAACUUACACUAAUACCGCCUACGACCUACGGUUGAAAGCCCGGGACCUUUUAGGCCUGGCGCGGAUUAAUGAGCCAAUGUCCUAUUAACUUGUUGGCGGGGUAAAGGCCCACCUCCGCGACGAUCGGUAGCUGGUCUG
rnacentral:rRNA from 1 species